rnacentral:snoRNA from 1 species
UGGUUAGCAAUGAUUAUAAAGUAAUUCCUCGUUCUGAAUGCCGUUGCCAUGGCUUGACAGAUCAUUAUUACACCCAUAGAAUAUGAGCUUC